GUGGCUGGACUGGAGUGCGAAAGCCCAACAGGCAGAGGGGCUGCGGCCAGGGAGGACGGACGGCUGGUUGUUUGGCAGGUUGAAACUAGCCAUCAGAGCAACAGGCUCUGGUUCCCAGCUGCAGGGGUGGAUGCGAAUGUGUGAGCUUCAGGUGAGUCACAGUCCAGAAAGCAGCCCUCACAGUGACGUGCCACCUCCCUCGUCAAAUGGACACUUGUACUUCUGUGUGAAGACCAUCCAGAGCCACGUGGGCCGCUACACUGCCUGCCACCAGG